ACUCCUACGGGAGGCAGCAGUGGGGAAUAUUGCACAAUGGGCGCAAGCCUGAUGCAGCCAUGCCGCGUGUAUGAAGAAGGCCUUCGGGUUGAUGAAAGUACUUUCAGUCAGAUGAGGAAGGUGGAUAUGUUAAUAGCAUAUUCAUUUGACGUUAGCUGCAGAAGAAGCACCGGCUAACUCCGUGCCAGCAGCCGCGGUAAUACGGAGGGUGCGAGCGUUAAUCGGAAUUACUGGGCGUAAAGCGCAUGCAGGUGGUUUGUUAAGUCAGAUGUGAAAGCCCGGGGCUCAACCUCGGAAUUGCAUUUGAAACUGGCAAACUAGAGUACUGUAGAGGGGGGUAGAAUUUCAGGUGUAGCGGUGAAAUGCGUAGAGAUCUGAAGGAAUACCGGUGGCGAAGGCGGCCCCCUGGACAGAUACUGACACUCAGAUGCGAAAGCGUGGGGAGCAAACAGGAUUAGAUACCCUGGUAGCUACGAGU
rnacentral:rRNA from 1 species